rnacentral:lncRNA from 1 species
UAAAAUCGGCCAAGAAUUCCAUGGAAUUGGAAUUCCAUUCAAAAUGGAAUUGUUGGCCAAAUCAAUAGUGUUGGCUAUACAAUUCUAAAUAGAAUUGUAUUUAAGUUGGUAGAAUCUUCAACUACUUUCCUUCCUUUUUUGACUCAAUAUGUGUAUAUAUAUACACAUAUCAUUAAGAAGGUUGACAAGAAAAAAAUUGAGAGAUAUACACAGAAGAGAGAAAGAAAACGUGAGAGUAAGAGAAAAAAAAUACUCUUGACAAGAAAAUUAGUUUUCUUGGUCUUUUACGUUUCAGCUACCGUUUUUGAGAAAAACUUUAGCAUAAUAUUUCCGUUCAAUUUGUUCGCGGGUUUCAUUUAUCAAAAGGUUGAUAGCAAGGAUCGGUCUCGGUGUGGAUACGCAUAGAGACUUCGCACUAUCGAAGAAAUUUCGGUAAAGAAACUCUCUUUACCAGGUACGUCUUAAAUCCUAUUUUUGACACGUAAAUAAAUUUUAAACAUGAGAAAAUCUACCUUGGAUUGUUAUUGUCUUCCGCUGCGUGUUACGAACACCCUUUAUCAGAGCCGUGGUUUAUUGUGUCUAAAAUUUAUUACGAAAUAUUUUAAUAUUAUAUUUGAAGAGAUUGUUAUUGUCUUCCGCUACGUGUUACGAACACCCUUAAAGCAAUCCAACAGCUUGAGCAUGUGGAACUAUGGAAAUAUUGAAUAUGUGGUUGUUCAUGUAGUGUAUAAUCAUUUCGUAAGAAGUUUAGUUGAUUAAAUUCUAUUGAAUAGGCUGUAUUUGGUCAUGGGAUAGUUAAAUAAGCCAGGUGGACCUUAUCAGUAGCAAUACAUAUAAUCUAAGGAUUAUUUGUUCCAUUGUUUGUUAGCAUAGGUAAAUACAAAUGAAUGAAGGUGCAUUAUGUUAUCAAAAUAAUAGAUCAAAAGCUUGCUGUCGUAGUUUCAAUAUGCCCAAUCAUUGUUAAAAUUAGUUUAAGUCAUGUUAAUUUGUUAGCAAACUCAAACCAGAAAUGUACUAUGAUUAGUUAUUAAUAUUAGUUAAUAAUUGUCAUUUUACAUUGUAAGCAUUUCAGUUAAGCCAUUAGUAAUGAUAAUUAUGCAGUUGGUUUGAAAUAGUUCAUCCAUGUUUUCUUAAAUUGUUUCUCGCUAAUACUGCCAGUAAUUUGUUGCACAUUCCUUGGGAUUAAGAUUUUGGGCCCUACUGUCCAGUUGAAGGCCCAGACCAUUGCCCGUUGAUUUAAUUGGUGAAAAGUUAUGGCCGCAUAGACUGAGACUUGGACUCAGUCAUAGUGUUAACAAUACCAAAACGGGGCGUAUGCAAGCCCUGUGAGUGCAUAUAGUCAGUUCUAAAUUUGGAGUGCUUCCACCCAGACUCGAUAUAUGAGUCGCACACAGCCGAAGGGAAAUGGGGAUUGUUCUUUUUAUGCAAGCCCAGUUCCAUAAGCCAACAAUUUGGUCUUGGUUCAAAGAAUUCAAUUUAAGCUUUAAGCAUAACAUAAGUUUGGCUUUUGAGUUAGGCAGUCGGUUCACAAUAAAAGGUUCUUUCUUUUGUUUGGACCCGGACUUGAACAUGAAGUCCGUACAUUAAUAUUAAUUAAUUAGGAUCUUUUUUUUUAUUUAGAGACAAAACAAAAAUAAAAAAAUAUAGUUGCUAUUAGGUUUGCCCUUUUCAAAAUAAAAUGAGACGAGCCUCGCCCAAUAAAAUACAAAAUCGCGGGUCCUUCAGUAAAAGUUUAAAAAUACUUAGAUGUCCGGGACGGGCCAUUUAGCGAAUUUCACGACUUUCCAAAAUAUAAUAACGCGUUAGCCACUUUAGGCGCGAUUUUAAUAAAUUUACAUUCUUCAACUCAGGUGUGCAUUUCAUGCGACCCAAAUCAAAUCUCAAAACGUUAAAUAGAGUGUGCUUAGGAUUGCGGGUGCAUUUCAUUUGACGUGCUCCGAAGGCACGCUCUAAACGACGUUCAAUUUUCUUUAAAAGUACAUAUUGAAUUAAAGCGGAUAAAAGUGAAAAUUGUCACAUAGGUUCAUCAUAUAAUAAAAUCAGGUAAAUAAGCUAAAUACGAUAGUUGAGUGACCGUGCUAGAACCACGGAACCCGAAAAUGCCCAACACCUUCUCCCAGGCUAAUGGAAUUCCUUACUCGGAUUUCUGGUUCGCAGACUCUUAACAAAGUCAUAAUUUUCCUCGGUUCGAGAUUCAUCUGGUGACUUGGGACACCAUUAAUCUCCCAAGUGGCGAAACUGAAUUUUAAUAAAUAAAUCCCAUUCUGAUUGUCCUUUAAUUGGAAAAACUCAUUUACACCUUUGUGGGUGUAGUGAAAAAGGAAGUGUGACAGUUUUGGCGACUCUGCUGAGGAAAAGAACCCAGAACGCUUUGUUCAGGGUUAAAGACUUUGAGCUUACAUAAAUUAUUGUGUUUGGCUUUAUCUAAUUUUGUUACAUGAUAUGUGCCUAAUAUGCUAAUUGACUGCUUUUACGGCUUUGAUAUUUUGUGAAUUGUAUAUAAAUUGUGCCAAAACCCAUCUCCUCUAUGAGUCUUCUAAAUCAUGAAGAAGGGUGAACUUCGUGUGACUUCUUUUCUGUAUAGUAUCUAAUUCCCAAUUUAGAAUGAGGUUUGGAUAAGUUGCAAAGCCGGCGAAGCUUCUGUAUUCCUAGUACACUGCCUUCCUCUUGGCUCGAGCUGUCCGCUCGGGUAAGCCAGGUUUCGAACCUAGAAAAACUAAACUUCAUGUCGGAUCCCUAGUAGGAACGCUUAUCUGCAUCAUGUGCAUUUUGACUUAGGGACUCAACAUAAGGGUUGGGUUCGUCUAAGACAAGCAACCUGAAAUGAAAAAGAGUGUCCUGAUGCAUUCUACUUGUUUUCUGUGCAUUUAUUUGUUCGGAGUUGCAUGUUGACCGGCUUCUGAAUACCGAAUAUACCAAAAAUUUGAGAAAAAGAGAGAAAUAGCAAUAUAGAGAGGUAAUUUCCCAUUUUAGAGAGAAAAAAUAAUGCCCAAAUACUGUCGAAACUCUGUCAAAAUUUUAAAAAAUGGAAAAGAAAGUAUCUUAUGUUUAAAUUGUUUGUUUUACUCAGAAAAGCAAAAAAAUAAAAAAAGUCUUUUAUUUUAGUUUGUCUUGUUUUCAAAAAAUAGAAAAGGAAAAAUAGUUUGUUUUGCCAUGAAAAAUAAAAAGAAAAAGAGUCUUGAUUAUUGGUUUUCAAAAUAGCUUACUUGCCAACGAAAAAUAGGUUGUUUUCUCGUUUGUUGAAAAAUAAAAAGGAGAAAAGUCUUUUAUUUUUUAGUUUGGGAAAAUAGGUUGUUUCAUUGUUUGUUGAAAAAGAAAAGAAAAAAGAGUCUUGUUUUUUGAAAAAGGGUAGUUCUUUUAUUUGCUUAUGAAAUGACAGAAAUAAAAACGAAAAAGUGUCCUUUUUUAAAACAGUUCGGUUAAUUAGCCCGAAUUACGCAGUUUUGAUUCUCACUAGAUAUGAGACACAUAGGCAACUCCCAUCGGGUUCAACCUCCCCUUUGCAAAAAUAGCCAAAAUAUCAAAUUUUUAAUUUUUGUUAUAAAUAAGUCGGGUGAUUCCAUUUUCGUCAAAAAUAGCCGAAUGUGCCCGAAAGGGGUGAUAGAAGGCUAAUUUUGCAUAAACGGUCCCCUUUGGUCAUAUUUAAAAUUUUGACCGUUUAAUCCACACAGCCUUAAAAUCUUCAUUUCCAAAGUGAUGAAAGGUCGUGUUUGACAAAUUGGGUCUUUCAUUUUAAUUUGGGAAAGAAAAAAUAGUAGCUUUGUUUUGAAUCAAAUAAUUUUAUGCUUUUCUUGAUCGCCUUAAUAAAUGUGCAGGAUGAGCACUAAUGAAAACAAACCUUUCACCGUCUUUAGUGAGAUCCCCCUCCAACUCCAUAUGUGGUGGAACGAUUUGGAAAAAAUAGCAAAGAAAUAGUGGUCAGAAUUUUGGAAGGUCUCGUCGGUCUACUAAAUGCCAGGGCAAUGUCGGAUGUCAUCAAGGCUUUAAUGCUAUUUUGGGACCCGACCCAUAAUGUAUUUCGCUUUGCAGAUUUUAAGCUUACAACCACACUGGAGGAAAUCGCGGAUUAUGCAGGGCUGAAUGAAAAUCUGAGGGGUCAAUAUCUGUUGUCACCAAGGCCGAUAUCUCCGCAUCGAUUUUUGGAUUUGCUAAAUAUUUGUUGGACUGUGCAAAACGAUGAUUUUUCAUGAGGAUGUUGCGCUCUUCAGUUCCUAUAUUAGCAUUAUGGUACUCGUUUGGGUUUCGAAGAGCCAAAUUUGGGACUGACUCAUGCUGGAAUUAGAAGUAAAUGGGAAGCAAGACGCACCUUGGAAUUCAUAUCCGCAUUCUUGGGAAUCGUGGUCUGCCCACGAGAAGAUAAGAAAAUAGAGAUAAGUCUUGUGGGGAUGGUUGAUGUCGCAAUGAAAAGGGUCUAUAUCACUAUAGUUCCCCUAAUCUUGUCAGAAAUGUACCGAGCAUUGACUGCGUGCAAAGAGGGAGGAAGAUUUUCCAAGGUUUCAAUCCACUGCUUCAGUUGUGGAUGCAAGAACAUCUCUGCCAUCGGGUGGGGUAUAUGAACAACUGGCUGACUGGUUUAAGUUGCAUUGAAGAGUUUGAGAAAUGGGUAACGGGUGUUACAUUCCUCGAGGGUACUGAAGAUUGGCUUAUACGACUGAGGUCACUGACGGCGGAUCAAACUGAAUGGGCAUUUGACUGCUUUCCCGCUACUGAAGCAGUACACAUGUUAGCCAAAGAAUGUUAUGUUCUCUUAAUGGGUGUCCGUAGUAUCAAACCAUAUGCUCCCCAUCGGGUACUGAGCCAAUUGGGAAGGUUUCAGGUUGUCCCUAAUGAUGAAGACCUGAGCAAGCAUGUCAUCGAGUUAAGUCCGAGAGCCACGUUCCCGGAAGAUGAAAUUCACAGGUUGUGGAAUGAAUGCAGAUUCCUUGAGCCCAAAACUAUGGUACGAAAUUUAGCUAAAGGCAAGGUGUACCCAAAGUAUAAUGCAUGGUUUGGGAAAAUUUUCUAGAUUUAUUAGAGGCCCAAUAAAUGUGCCCAUGUCCAGCAAUUUACGGAUGAUUCGCAAGAACAAUGGGGUUGGCUAGCAAAAGAAGAAAGUUACAGGGCAGAAAUAGGCAAACUAAAGCAACAGAUUGGAGCUCUGAAAUUUGAGAACAGUGUGCAAUUUGCUGCUGAUUGGGGAGAAAAUAACAUGUUGGCCACAAAAAAUGAGGUGUUUAGGGCCCAAAUCCAGCAAAUGAAGAUAGCUGCAAUAACCAACAAAGGAGCCGGUCGGAUGACCGGUUGAUAAAGGGGCUAAAAAGGAAAUUAGUGAGUGUUGGGAUGAGCUAAAAAAAUUUGAGGGCACCAUAGCGGGACUCCAGGCACAGUGGGGAAAAAGAACAGAAGAACAAGCCCAUUAUUUUCAGCAAUUGACGAAGGAUUAUGAAAAGACCAUUGCAAGCCUGAAAAGAAAAGUGGUCACCCUUGAGGAUAAAGCAGCUAAGCAAGCCCAGGCUUUUGAGUCCGAAAGUGGACACUGUUAUGACUUACUGGCCUGAAUGGAAGUAGAAAUACAGCAGCUGCAAGAUCAGAGUCUCCAGGAUUCUCAUAUGUUGGAGGCUCGUAAUAAUUAAAUAAGGCGAUUGCUUAUAGAAAAGAGUCGAACAAGAGACAGGAUUGAGACCAUUGCCCACGCCAUCCUUAGGAGAUGCCGGGCAUGUGAAGACAUGACCCACACUACCUUCUUCUUGGCUGUGAUGAUUUAUGUCAAUCGAACCAUGUAUGAGCUAGAGCAGCUUGAAAGGGAUUUGGCACCUAGGCCCGCGACGAAGCCGAACGAUGCCCCGCGGGCACCCACUUUUGAAGCACUAAUUUACUCAUAUAUCGAGUCUGUAUUUUCCAUUUUAGAGUCUGUUGUUUGUAUGUCUGUUUUCUUUCUGCGUUCGAGUAUGCUAGUAUGUUUGGAGUUUGUAUUUGAGUUUAGUUGGAGUCUGUUAUUUUCCAUUUUCAAAAUGUUUAGUUUGUAAUAGAAUGUUGUAGUAAUGAAACUUGAAAAUUCCCAAAAAUUAUUCCUUUAUUUUUGCACUGAUUUUCACAAACUACGCCUGGUCUGAUUUGUGAGGGGUCACGAUACGUAGGCAAUCUCUAUAGGAUUCGACCGUAACCGAGUGAAAAGAAAAAGAAAAUAAAACAAAGAAAGGGAAAGAGGAAAGGAAAGAGCGUAAAAACAAGGAAAAUAAGCAUGAAAAUAAGAGAAGAGAGAAAAGAAAAAAAUAGCGAAAAAACAAGAAAGGAAUAGAAUGAGAAAAAUAAAGGGGGAAGAAAGGGAAAAGGAGAGAAAGAAAGAGAGAAAAGAAACCAAAAGGAAAGAGAAAGUUUACAGUUGGAACCAAGAAAAUGUCGGGAUGACGCAUGCGGUCGAGCAAAUGCAUAAUAGAAAUGUUUAACUGUAUAGGUGCAUUUAUGCCCAAUGUGCGAUUAUUCAAUCUGUUAAAGCCUAAUCGCUAACGGAAUUUUUGCCUAAAUGUGUGAGUUCAGGCAGGUGGUUAGAUGUUUGGUAUUCUGAAAACCCAUUCUUACAACACCUGAUCAAAAAACAAGCUGAAAAUGACUGGACAAGAAUAUGAUAUCAGUAUUAUGGACCCCUCGAAAGAAGUUGAGGUGACAGAUGUAAACACUAUGAAAGAGGAUAUGCAUAAACUAAAACAACAAAUGGAUGAAAUGCAUCAGGCCUGAUCUCAGGGGCAUCCAGCGCCAGUGUAUCCCGCCAAUCCAUCAUAUAUCCCGCCUUUGUUCAGGUUCAGGAGCCUCACACUGCCAAUUCAUCUCCAGACUUCCCUUACUACACACAGGGUCAUGGUACUACCUCCUACGCUCCUCAACCUCCACCACCUAAGCAAAACCCUCCUCUAUCCAUUACUCUUGUCUUUGUGGCACCUCCACCCGCCACACUGCAAAGAUCAUCCAGUGAGCCUUUGUUUCAAACUCACGAUGACAAAUACUAUCCCCCCUAAACCUACUAUUAGAGCCCCUGAGCCGUACCCUUAUACCCCUCACUUUGAGCUCCCGGCAGAGACUGAAAAGCUGUCUAAGAACCCAGAACAGGAAGAAGUGCUUCGAAAAAUGAAAAUCCUGGAGCAGUCCUUUAGGAAUACGCAUGGAUUGGGCAAUUAGGUCAGUGUGACAUAUAAAGAUCUUUGUUUGUUCCCCGAUGUCUAGCUACCUGCGGGGCUCAAAAUUCAGAAGUUUGAUCUGUGUGAUGGUCACGGCGACCCAGUGGCACAUUUACAAGGUUUCUUUACUAAGAUGAGAGGGGCCGGGGGAAAAGAUGAACUGUUGAUGGCAUACUUUGGGAAGAGUUUGAGUGGGUCUGCACUAGAAUAGAAUAAGAGCCAAAAUCCUAGCAGAUGGUAUACUUAGGAUGACCUAGCACAAGCAUUUUCCAGUCACUUCCAAUAUAAUCUUGAGAUCGUCCCAAACCGACUAUCAUAGAUAAAACUCGAGAAGAAACCCGGGGAAAGCUUCAAGAAAUACGAGUUCCGCUGGAGAGAGCAAGCUGCCAGGGUUGACCCCUCAAUGAGGGAAUAUGAAAUAGUGGAUUACUUUUUGCAGGCUUUGGAGCCAACAUACUUUGGUCACCUGGUGGAGGCAAUCUGCAAAUCUUUUAAUGAGGUGGUGAAGAUUGGAUCCAUGGUCGAUGAUGGUUUGAAGUCCAAUAAAAUCAUGAGCUAUUCAGCGAUUAAAGCAACCACUUAGUCCAUCCAAGGCAUCACUGGUGGUGUGCUUGGAAAGAAGAAGAAGGAAGAAGUCAAAACAGUUGAAGCUAAUACUUGGUACAGGCCCAGCAACCCUCAACCCUACUACAACCAACCCAGAACCCACCACUCAAAUUAUCCAUACACCCCAUAUGGCCCUCCACAACAUUACUAUCCACCACCAGAGCUAUAUUUUUCUGUCCAUCACACCCAGGCAUAUACCCAGCAACUGGCGCACCCGCAAUGGAGUGCACCAGUUCCCUAAAACACAUAUCCACCUCCACAAAACACAUAUUCACCCCCCGAGGCUUAUAGACCAAGAGCCAGAUUUCGCCCAAACCAAGAUUUUGGAAAUGAGAAGGUCCACAAACGGAAAACAUUCACUCCGUUGGGAGAAUCUUACACCACUCUUUUUCGUAGAUUGAAACAGCUGGGAAUGUUGACCCCAAUUGAGCCCAAAAUGCGAAACCCCCUCCUAGAAACCUGGACCAUUCGGUCAGCUAUGAGUAUUAUUCAGGAAUUCUAGGGCACGAUACUGAGAAAUGCUCGAUGUUCAAAAUUCGGUGCAGGAGCUUAUUGAUAAUCAUUAUAUUGAAGUUCAGGCCUCGGAGGCACAAAAAAUUAAUCAAACCCGUUUCCAGCUCAUCACGAUACCAAAAUGAUCGAAUUAGUGCACAAGGUAGGGGAGCUGAAGAAAUCCUCACAAACGGUCAUGAUGAUCCAUUCUAGUGAAGCCAAGGUGAACGAAAAGGCAGCUAGUGUGAAACCAGCAGUUCAGCCAAAAAAGAUAGAUGACAAAUGAGUUGUGGUGGUUGGAAAAGGAUCAUCUAUUGUUGUAAAGAUGCCAGAGCCAGCCAAUUUAGCGGUACAAGGGGUAUCAAGUGCGCAUGGUAGUUGGAAGGGGGCCUACAUCGAAACUGUUGUCAUAAAGCAGGUAGUCAGUUACUCAUGAUUGAUAGCAAAGUCGUGCCAUGGAAGUAUGAACAAGUAGUUGUCACUUACAAACGAAAGGAAAUCAAAGAAGAUGUUUGCGAACAACAAGGGUUAACUCGCUCGGGUAUGUGUUUUGCCCCCAAAGAGUUGAGAAAGGCCAGGGUUGCUAAAGAUAGUCCAGUACUAGUCAAAAAGAUGUGACAGAGGAUGAGGAAAAGGAGUUCUUGAAAAAGAUAAAAGUACAAGACUAUUCCAUUAUUGAUAAAUUGAGGAAAAUACCAGCCCAAAUCUCGUUGCUUUCACUACUGAUACAUUCAGAUGAGCAUCACCGGGCUCUGAUGAAAGAUAUUGAAUGAAGCUCAUGUCCCCGAUAAAAUUUCGGUGAAUCAUUUGGAAAAAAUCGCAACAAAAUCUUUGAAGUGAACAGGGUGACAUUUUCUGACGAUAAAUUGCCCAUGGAAGGUACAUAACAUAAUAGAGCUCUCUACUUGACAGUAAAGUACGAAGAGUCAUUAGUCACUCGGGUGUUGAUUGAUAACAGAUCCAGUGCCAAUAUUUGUCCUUUGUCAACGUUGAACAAUCAGAAGGUCGAUGAUGACAGGGUUCAUAAGAAUAGUGUCUGCAUUUGAGGGUUUGACGGUGGUGGUACGGACACAGUGUGGGAUGUCAUACUCGAAUUGACAAUUGGUCCAGUUGAGUUCACCAUGGAAUUUCAAGUGGUAGACGCGGUAGUGUCCUAUAAUCUGCUGUUGGGGCGACCAUGGAUCCACGCUGCCAAAGAGGUUCCUUCUACACUGCAUUAAAUGGUCAGGUUUGAGUAUGAUAGACAAGAGGUCGUGGUAAAUGGGGAAGAUAACACAUGCGCUGUAAGCGAUGCCAUCGUGCCCUUCAUAGAGACUGAUGAUGCUAAGGGGCUGUGGGUUUAUCAGUUCUUUGAUACAAUCUCAGUGGACUAGGUGUCGGAGGGUAAAAGUAUCCCACUCCCAAGAAUAGUAGAUGCAACUGUCGUGAUAGUUUCGAAGAUGCUGAAUAAUGGGUUCGUGCCAGAUAAAGGUUUGGGGGAUGAUCUCUAGGGUAGUGUUCAACCUGUUUCUUUACCCAAGAAUCUGGACACCUUUAGGCUGGGGUUCAAGCCAACGGCGGCAGAUGUGAGACGGACCCGCAAGAUGAAGAAAAGAGUCUGGGUUCUUCCCAAACUAAUCCACGCUUGUCCAGGUCCUUCUUUAGGCCAAGUAUCGAGAAACAGCUACUAGCAAAGGUGUUUGGUCCAUUGAUUGGUGCAGAUGGGAACUUGGAAAAGGGGUUUGAGAGAUUAUUUUAUAAAGUAACAUGGUUGAGGCCGGGGAAGGGUGGGGCAAAGAAGAUAUACAGUACAUCGGACCACGUGAUAAUGUCAACAAUUAAGAAGCUACUCCUCUUACCACUCGGAGGGAGUCAUGGUAGUGGUUUUUGUUUUCCUUUUGUUCACCAGGAUUAUCCCAAGGUUUGUAAUUCCGUUGAAAAAAACCCAAACCUGACCUAAAUGAGACAGAAGCAGUUAAUCUAGGGGACCAAGACAAUGUUCGUGAAACUAAAAUAAGUGUUCAUCUGGAUCCACAACUAAAGGAGUAGAUAACCAAAGCAUUGUUCGAGUAUACGGAUAUUUUUGCAUGGUCGUAUGAUGAUAUGCCGGGUCUAAGUACCGAUUUAGUGGUUCACAAAAUGCCCACUGAUCCGGCACUCCCAGCUGUCAAACACAAGCUGAGAAAGUUCAAGUUGGACAUAAGUGUAAACAUCAAAGAAAAGAUUACAAAGAAGUUUGAUGCAAAGAUCAUUCAGGUUACACGGUAUCCCACUUGGUUAGCUGCUGUUGUGUUUGUGCCGAAGAAAGAUGGCAAGACCAAGGUGUGUGUCAACUAUGGGAUCUUAACAAGGCAAGUCAAAAAGAUACUUUUCCACUACCGAACAUCCACAUAUUGAUUGAUAAUUAUGCCAAACAUGAGAUUGGCUAUUUUGUGGAUUGCUACGUGCAUUAUCAUCAUAUUUUAAUGGACGAGGAAGAUGCAGAAAAGACGACAUUCAUCACACCAUGAGGAACGUACUAUUAUCGUGUCAUGCCAUUUGGUAUGAAAAAUGUUGGGUCCACUUAUAUGAGGGCAAUGACAACAAUAUUCCAUGAUAUUAUACAAAAGUAAAUCGAGGUGUACGUGGAUGAUGUGAUCGUGAAGUAUAGACAACACUCUGACCAUGUCAGGGAUCUGAGAAAGUUCUUUUAAAGGCUUCACAGGUACAAUCUUAAGCUCAAUUUCGCAAAAUGUGCUUUCGAGGUACCAUCUGGAAAUUUGUUGGGAUUUAUAGUCAAUCGUCAGGGUAUUGAACUGGAUCCAUCGAAGAUUAAGGCCAUUUAGGAAUUGCCACCUCCGAGAAACAAAACUGAGGUGAUAAGUUUGUUGGGAAGGCUGAAUUAUAUUAGCAGGUUCAUUGCUCAGCUCACAACUACUUGUGAGCCCAUUUUCAAACUGUUAAAGAAAGAUGUUGCGGUCAAAUGGACGGAUGAAUGUUAGGGGGCUUUUGAUAAGAUAAAGCGGUAUUUGUCGAAUCCACCCGUAUUAGUCCCGCUAGAGCUAGGGAGGCCUUUGAUUCUAUAUUUGACAAUUUUGGAUAAUUCAUUUGGCUGCAUACUGUGCAAAAUGAUGUUACUAGUAGAAAGGAGCAGGCUAUCUAUUAUCUCAGCAUGAAGUUCACAUCUUACGAGGUCAAGUAUACUCAUCUGGAAAGGACGUGUUGUGCCUAACUUAGGUGGCACAAAAGUUGAAAAAUUAUUUGUCGUCCUAUACUACUUACCUCAUAUCUCGCUUGGACCCAUUGAAGUAUAUUUUCACAAGCCUAUGACCACAGGGAGGCUUUCAAAGAAAAGAAAAUGAAAAGAAAGGAAAGAAGAAAAGAAAAGAAAAACAAAAGGAAAAGAAAAAGAAAAAUCACAAACAAAAACAAAGUAAUUCUGUGAUGUGAAAUACGUUUGACUUGAUCUCGAAAGGGUACGUGGGCAGCCUUCUCUGAGAUUCAAUCAUACCAAAAUAAAAAUCCAAAAGUCCCCAAGCAAGAAACUGGGGCAGAAGUUGUGGUUAUUGGAAAAUUUUGAUUCUGAAAGUUCUAAUUUUAAUCAAUUUUUAAGUUAUUUUUGAGCCUUUUAUACCUUUCUUUCUACCUCAUCCAAAAGCCCACAUUACGGUCCAAAAGAAAGACCUUCCGAUCAGUCUUUGAGAAAUGCCAAGUCAAGUAGGUAGAGGUAAUCCGUGAUUGAGCAUCACUCUAGUUCAAGCAAGAAAAAAAAUAAAAUGAAAGAGUCUUGUUGGUGAAAACCUUCACAGGCACCAUAAGGUGACGGUGGAUGAGAGAAAUAAAAUGAGUGAGUCUGAUUGGUGAAACCCUCAGGGAUACCUUGAGGCAAAAAUGACUUGAGAAAUGGCUAAUUGAGAAAGGUCUGUUGGUGGAAAACUAUUUCGAGGCACCGCAAGAUUAGCAAGGGUAUGGUUUGGGAAAAGUAAUCAAGUGAUGGAAAUUCUGGGGCAACAAAGUAUGGCAAUUGAAAGUUGGUUAAUUGGACAUAUUGGGCUGAUUAAUCCGAAAUGCAUGUCAUGACCAUUGGUGCCAGUUGUUCCGGUCAGAUAAGUUUCUUUAUUUAUCCUUUUAGCAGUCAUUUGGUAUUGGAUUCUUCUUAUCCUUAUCUCCCAAAAUCAUUGCAUUUCAUUUUCUUUUGGGGGUUUUAUUUGUCUAAGAUGUUUCACUGUCAGUUUUGUUCAAUUCAAGGGAAAAUGAUUUCUAAGCUCACUACUAGCUUCCUAAAAUGGUAAAGCAUAUUGUGGUCAGAGCAUGUCAACAACAACACGAUGGAAAGUGGAGUAUGGGAAGUCGCUGGAAGCUUCAUCGGUGGAAUAAUUGGAAAAUGUUAUGGGAAUAUAAAGGUUUAGACAGAAAGGGUCAUAAAAGUGAAACAACGGCAUGUGUACAAAACAUUCAGGUUAUCAAAGGUUGGGGAAUUUCAAAAGUCAGUCAGAAAGUAAAGCGACUCAGGGUCAGUUCGAGAAAGUCAGUCAACACAAAGUAAGGCACUGGAAGGCUUUUUUAGCGAGAAUGCCAUCAACUAACCACCAUUUUAAAUUAACGAAAUUUCCUUUGAUUGGAACAGGGGCAGAAAAUUGGUUGUUCAGGAGGAAUUCUCCAUGAGGGAAAGGCAAGCAGUAGUAGGUUUGACCGCAAGUGUGGUGUGGUUAAAAUACAAGACAAUGAGGAAUAACAUAGGGAAAUGUAAGUUAGUUUCAAAGUUUGCAUGUUUAGG